rnacentral:rRNA from 1 species
GGCUGUCGUCAGCUCGUGUCGUGAGAUGUUGGGUUUAAGUCCCGCAACGAGCGCAACCCCCUAUGGUUAGUUACCAGCAUGUAAUGGUGGGGACUCUAGCCAGACCGCCUGCCAAGCAGAGAGGAAGGAGGGGAUGACGUCAAGUCAUCAUGGCCCUUACGCCCAGGGCUACACACGUGCUACAAUGGCCGGUACAAAGGUUUGCGAGGCGGUAACGCUGAGCCAAUCUCAAAAAGCCGGUCACAGUUCGGAUUGAGGGCUGCAACUCGCCCUUAUGAAGCUGGAAUCGCUAGUAAUCGCAAAUCAGCAAUGUUGCGGUGAAUACGUUCCCGGAC